UAUUGAUUUGGCAUUUAGGUUAGAAUUGAUGAAAAUAAAUAAUGAAAUUGGAAAUGAUGGAAAAUUUGUGGUCAAGUUUGAAUAUGACUAGCAGGCAUUUAGAUUAUGAAUGGAAUUCCGGAAGAUCUAGCAUUACCUAUAUCCGAAAUGGCAAAAUCGACUAAAUAGUAGAAAGGAAGCUCAUGGAUCUAAUACCACAAUAAAUUAAUAUGACUAGGAAUUUUUUGUACAAAAUCAUAUAGCACUGACAAUUAGGGCAGCUAUGAGGACCAGUCAAGACCAAGCUCUACCCUGCAGAUAUUUUUAACAUGAUGAAUGAAUGUUCCCCGUAUAGGCUAAUAUACAAUAAGGAUGUGUACCUGCUAGAGAGGAGAACCAUACAGAGUGAAUCAUAACUAUUGGGCUAGGGAUGGGACCAAAUAUGAUAUUAAUAUUAUUUAACCGAAAAUUAUUCAUAAAAUGAGGGUCUCUGACUGGCCCAUUUUACAAAGGAGGAAUUAAUGGGUUAUAAAUUAGUAAUAAACAUUCACUUCUCAACAAUCUAUCCUGUUGGAAAUGGCACGAUCCCAUUUCCAUGGGCUACAUUAAGCCAAAAGUCCCAACUCCUAGUGAGGCUGUCAACUAGAAGGAAGUUUUUUUCUAUGCUGAAAGACAAGAUACACCAAAGAACUGAUAAACGCAGAAGACAGUUCAUAAUUUAAUGCCUCUUGUUAUAUUAAUCACUAUACAUUAUGAUACAUUUUAAUUGUUAUUUAAUUGCUUGCUCAUUCAGUAGGCUAUUUAAUGUUAUAGUGUUUGAAAUAUUCGAAUUUUGUUUCAAAUUGUUUAGUUUAGAGACAUGUUAAUUUGAUUGCAGAGCCACCUGUGAUGAAUUAUGAAUAAUUGUUCGUAAAACGCUUUUGUAUUUUUUGCCGUAGAAUAGGAAUCCGCAAUGAAAAGACAAGGAUUCCCAUUCAAAAAAUUAAGAUGAUCCCUGUCUCCCACAAGGGUGAAGUAAAUAGAGAAGGUUUUAGCAUAAGUAACAUGUUUCCUUUGGUAGAUUUUUGACUGAAUCAACAACAGAAAUUUGCUUGGUAUUUUUAGAUUUAGGUAUAAUAAGUAUAUUUGAAUCAGUAAGAUUGACAUCCUAUGUUAGAAGAAAACUAGAAAUCAAAAAAGAUCAACUACUUUUUCUAAAAACCUUUGUUUUCUUCAACUUAAUUGGUGAUUUUCUUUAAUAUAAUACUGAACAACUAUU